rnacentral:rRNA from 1 species
GCAACCUGCCCCGGACUCUGGGAUAACAGUUGGAAACAGCUGCUAAUACCGGAUACGAGCUGCGAAGGCAUCUUCAGCAGCUGGAAAGAAUUUCGGUCUGGGAUGGGCUCACGGCCUAUCAGCUAGUUGGUGAGGUAACGGCUCACCAAGGCGUCGACGGGUAGCCGGCCUGAGAGGGUGACCGGCCACACUGGGACUGAGACACGGCCCAGACUCCUACGGGAGGCAGCAGUGGGGAAUAUUGCACAAUGGGCGCAAGCCUGAUGCAGCAACGCCGCGUGAGGGACGACGGCCUUCGGGUUGUAAACCUCUUUUAGCAGGGAAGAAGCGAAAGUGACGGUACCUGCAGAAAAAGCACCGGCUAACUACGUGCCAGCAGCCGCGGUAAUACGUAGGGUGCAAGCGUUAUCCGGAAUUAUUGGGCGUAAAGAGCUCGUAGGCGGUUUGUCGCGUCUGCUGUGAAAACCCGAGGCUCAACCUCGGGCCUGCAGUGGGUACGGGCAGACUAGAGUGCGGUAGGGGAGAUUGGAAUUCCUGGUGUAGCGGUGGAAUGCGCAGAUAUCAGGAGGAACACCGAUGGCGAAGGCAGAUCUCUGGGCCGUAACUGACGCUGAGGAGCGAAAGGGUGGGGAGCAAACAGGCUUAGAUACCCUGGUAGUCCACCCCGUAAACGUUGGGAACUAGUUGUGGGGUCCAUUCCACGGAUUCCGUGACGCAGCUAACGCAUUAAGUUCCCCGCCUGGGGAGUACGGCCGCAAGGCUAAAACUCAGAGGAAUUGACGGGGACCCGCACAAGCGGCGGAGCAUGCGGAUUAAUUCGAUGCAACGCGAAGAACCUUACCAAGGCUUGACAUAUACGAGAACGGGCCAGAAAUGGUCAACUCUUUGGACACUCGUAAACAGGUGGUGCAUGGUUGUCGUCAGCUCGUGUCGUGAGAUGUUGGGUUAAGUCCCGCAACGAGCGCAACCCUCGUUCUAUGUUGCCAGCACGUAAUGGUGGGGAACUCAUGGGAUACUGCCGGGGUCAACUCGGAGGAAGGGUGGGGAUGACGUCAAAUCAUCAUGCCCCUUAUGUCUUGGGCUUCCCGCAUGCUACAAUGGCCGGUACAAUGG